rnacentral:tRNA from 1 species
UCCCUGGUGGCCUAGUGGUUAAGGAUUCAGCAUUGUCACUGCUAAGGCUCAGGUUCCAUACCUGGCCUGGGAA